AUAACGAAAUGCCAACAGAUACUACACGACUAGCUAGCUGACAAGAUUGUUAAAAAAAAUCUGCAGCUAGCAAACAAGCUAUAUUAAGCAUUCGAUAUAGUUAGCACUACUGCAAUGAUAUUUCUGAUGACUAACAAUCAUGACAGGUUAGCAACGUUGUUGGUUGAGUUGCCCUUUUGCAUCUAGCUUCUUUGUGGGCCCUUUAAAAACAUAGUAGCUAACUAUAAGCCUAGGUUUGGUAACAUUUCGCCUGCGACAGUAGUUCUACCACAACAGCCCAAGUAGCUACUAGAAUCAACUAAACAUGCUAAAAAAUCAUGACGCUAGCACUGCUGCCCUAAUGGUAGCCAAAUCAUACCAACUUGGUGGGUCCAGACUAGUGUUCAGACUGAGACCUCUGAAGUUCUGUGUGCCUACCAAUAAUGCAGGAAAUGACGCUGAUCACCAUCCCUGACGACUUCCCCCGUGAUCAGCCAGAGUGAGGUAACUGUGGCAUUCACGACAAAGAGGAACUGGUAGCUACUGAUGUAAUCAGAUAAUCAGAAAAUCCUAAUGGCUGGCACCCAUCCACUCUACUGUAUGCCAUUGCCUGUAAUCUUUCGGUCACCAUUGUCAUUGUCUCUUACAUGGCGAUUGACAUCCAUGCCUUCAAUGCCGAUGAGAAGGUGAGCAUCUACAAGUUGACUGGUGAUGGCAUGCACCGUGGCAACUUGAAGUUCGAACAGAAGCUGUGCGAGGAGCAGGCGGAGCCUGACGGCAGUGGGGUCAAAGUUCAAAGUGGAAGAAUGUCGCCACAAAGCUGAAUCAGGGCCAUUAAAUUAACCAAAGGUGUUUGUUGUCAUUGAACUUCCUCUUCUGAGUGGCUGACAUCGGUUGAAUCAUUCGUUCUGGGUCUGAACUCAGUUGACAUUCUGAAGGCUUGCUGAGGUUGUAUGCUAAGCAGUUAAGGCUGAAGGUAAUGGGAUCUUGUUGAGUUUUUUUAGAUCCUGACAAAGUUAACUGAGAGAAGAGGAUGAUGAAGAACCUAGAGUUCACAGUCCAGGACCUGCAGCACAGUCUCAAUGAGGCUGAGAGAC